UAAAUUUUUAAGAAUCAGUGUUUAAAGAUACAUGAAGCUAUUUGCUAGAUUUUUAUUCUAGUUUUUUUUUUUUAAUUUAAAAAUCUUAAGUUUUUUUUAGUAAGCUUAAGAUGUCCAGUAGUUUAUUUGCAGACAGCGUUUUUAAAAAGUGAAUAGAUGUGUAGCUGAAGUUAAAUACAGAUUUACGACUGUGUAACUCUUGGUAAGAUAUAACAAAACCUAGACAUCUAAAGUUUUUGGAAAUUUUUAUUUUAAAAGUCUGUUGGGAGGUAAAAUUGUGUGACUUUACCUUGGGUUAAUAGUUCUAUAGUUAAGAAGAAAGUCUGGCGAAGUUUACUUGAUCUCAGUUCAUUCAAGAAUAGGGUAUUUAGUUCCACUUUGGUUACUUUCACUUCUACUCUAAAUUCAUAGUCCCUGUUACUUAAGCUUUACCCUUGACUUACCAGUUUUUGUAGCAGCGAGAUAAAUGGGGAGUAGCAGUGCCUUUGUUAAUGUAAAUUGACAACAAAUUAUGUCGUUUUCUAGCAGGAGUAGAUAAACUGAUAAUGGGCUUAGAAAUGUACAAAAUGAUUUUCUGUAGACAGGAUGAUCUGUCAGUUCAUAGCAUUGUAGCAAAUGAUGGUACAUAUUCACAACAAAGUAAUGCGACUACAUUUAAUAAAUAGCCACAAACAACAAAAGGACAGCUGGUCCCUGAUAUGUACUGGCUACCUGGACAUAAUAUCCUUGUGAAGCAUCCUUAAAGAACAAAUUGCAGCUGGUAUUUGGGUGAAUGUUGCUCUGUGCCUGUUGAAUGUCCAUGCUACAAGAAGUUAUGAGCCUUGUUCUAAGUACAAAUGAACCUUGUAUUUGUUUAAUCUCCUAAGGGAGAGCUAUAGUUUACAUUCAAUUUUUUGGUCUUUCUGCUAUGAAAGGUGUUUAUUUUGCCUUUGUCAAUGUGUUUGCAACCUUAAAUAAGGAAAGGGAAAAAAAUAGCCCUCUGAACUCUGAUCUUUUGCUGCUUCUGUAAAUUUUGAUUAUGAAGUUGGGAGUGAGGACAUUCAAAAGCCCUUGGUGAAUUUAUAUGCCUUUAGAAUAUUGUGCCUGUUUUAAAAUGUUUGAGCUUUUAAAACACUUUGUUGAAACAUGAAUCCUUUUUUGUAAUUGUAUAAAUACUCAUAACUAAUUUUGAAUGCUACUGAUUGUGUAACUGAAUUUUUGUAUCCAAAAAUACAUUCUUUUCCUACCUUGAAAAUCUAUUUCAUUUAAUAAAUACUGUUUUCUUUAUGCUAACUUAACUUUAAAAGGAAUGUUGCCAAGCUGUCUUUCCUCCCCCAUCACAAUUUUGCUUUUUUUCUUCAAUAAAUGAUAGCAUUAUGAUCUUUAAUAAA